GACGAACGCUGGCGGCGUGCUUAACACAUGCAAGUCGAACGGAAAGGCCCUGCUUUUGUGGGGUGCUCGAGUGGCGAACGGGUGAGUAACACGUGAGUAACCUGCCCUUGACUUUGGGAUAACUUCAGGAAACUGGGGCUAAUACCGGAUAGGAGCUCCUGCUGCAUGGUGGGGGUUGGAAAGUUUCGGCGGUUGGGGAUGGACUCGCGGCUUAUCAGCUUGUUGGUGGGGUAGUGGCUUACCAAGGCUUUGACGGGUAGCCGGCCUGAGAGGGUGACCGGCCACAUUGGGACUGAGAGACGGCCCAGACGCCAACGGGAGGCAGAAGUGGGGAAUAUUGCACAAUGGGCGGAAGCCUGAUGCAGCAACGCCGCGUGCGGGAUGACGGCCUUCGGGUUGUAAACCGCUUUCGCCUGUGACGAAGCGUGAGUGACGGUAAUGGGUAAAGAAGCACCGGCUAACUACGUG
rnacentral:rRNA from 1 species